rnacentral:misc_RNA from 1 species
UCGCUAUUAUUAGAACAGUUUCUGUACUAUAUUG